GACGGAAGGUGCAAGCGUUGCUCGGAAUCACUGGGCGUAAAGGGUGCGUAGGCGGCUGUGCAAGUCUGGCGUGAAAGCCCCGGGCUCAGCCCGGGAAGUGCGCUCGAAACUGCACGGCUCGAGUGCCGGAGGGGAGAGUGGAAUUCCUGGUGUAGCGGUGAAAUGCGUAGAUAUCAGGAGGAAUACCGGUGGCGAAAGCGACUCUCUGGACGGCAAUUGACGCUGAGGCACGAAAGCGUGGGGAGCAAACAGG
rnacentral:rRNA from 1 species